rnacentral:rRNA from 1 species
AGCAGCCGCGGUAAUUCCAGCUCCAAUAGCGUAUAUUAAAGUUGUUGCAGUUAAAAAGCUCGUAGUUGAAUUUCGGGGUCAGUAGUUUGGUCGUGCCACUGGUAUGUACUGGGCUCACUGAUUCCUCCUUCCUGAUGAACUGUAAUGCCAUUAAUUUGGUGUUGCAGGGAAACUGGACUGUUACUUUGAAAAAAUUAGAGUGUUUAAAGCAAGCUAACGCUUGAAUACAUUAGCAUGGAAUAAUGAAAUAGGACGUUCGAUCCUAUUUCGUUGGUUUCUAGGAUUGACGUAAUGAUUAAUAGGGAUAGUUGGGGGCAUUAGUAUUCAAUUGUCAGAGGUGAAAUUCUUGGAUUUAUUGAAGACUAACUACUGCGAAAGCAUUUGCCAAGGAUGUUUUCAUUAAUCAAGACGAAAGUUAGGGGAUCGAAGACGAUCAGAUACCGUCGUAGUCUUAACCAUAAACUAUGCCGACUAGGGAUCGGACGAUGUUAAUUUUUAAUGACUCAUUCGGCGCCUUAAC